rnacentral:misc_RNA from 1 species
CCCUGUUCAUGGUUAGUUGAAUUUUGCCCAUGUAUCCUCUGAGGUCUGGCAUUAAGAUCAAUCAACUUAUUGUCAAUCUUGCGAUCACCAUCGGUGUUAUUCUCCAUCAUUGGAAUGGGAGAUUCUCUGUGAUUUUGCUUACUGUCUCUCAUCGUGAGUUUAGGUGGCUGAUUUUGGUCCCUCCGAACUUCAUUUUGAUCAAGAGGUUGCUGUCCUAAUUCAUCCAAAUGGCGAGGCUUGUCCCCUGGAAACUCAACUCUCUGCCUCAACAGGAGAUAUCUCCCAUGGGUUCUUUUACCACCAACAUGCACAAUCAUAUCACAUUGCAGACAGA